GAUGAACGCUGGCGGCGUGCCUAAUACAUGCAAGUCGAGCGAAUGGAUUAAGAGCUUGCUCUUAUGAAGUUAGCGGCGGACGGGUGAGUAACACGUGGGUAACCUGCCCAUAAGACUGGGAUAACUCCGGGAAACCGGGGCUAAUACCGGAUAAUAUUUUGAACUGCAUGGUUCAAAAUUGAAAGGCGGCUUCGGCUGUCACUUAUGGAUGGACCCGCGUCGCAUUAGCUAGUUGGUGAGGUAACGGCUCACCAAGGCAAAGAUGCGUAGCCGACCUGAGGGGGUGAUCGGCCACACUGGGACUGAGACACGGCCCAGACUCCUACGGGAGGCAGCAGUAGUGAAUCUUCCGCAAUGGACGAAAGUCCGACGGAGCAACGCCGCGUGAGUGAUGAAGGCUUUCGGGUCGUAAAACUCUGUUGUUAGGGAAGAACAAGUGCUAGUUGAAUAAGCUGGCACCUUGACGGUACCUAACCAGAAAGCCACGGCUAACUACGUGCCAGCAGCCGCGGUAA
rnacentral:rRNA from 1 species